UGACCUCAGAUCAGGCAAGGCUACCCGCUGAAUUUAAGCAUAUUAAUAAGCGGAGGAAAAGAAACUAACAAGGAUUCCCCUAGUAAUGGCGAAUGAAGCGGGAACAGCUCAAAUUUAAAAUCUCCGUUGCUUGCAACGGCGAAUUGUAGUUUCGAGAAGCACUUUCUCGGCGGAUCCGAGGUCGUCCAAGUUGCUUGGAACAGCACGUCGUAGAGGGUGACAACCCCGUCUGCGGCGAUCUCGGCCGUUCACGAUGUGCUUUCGACGAGUCGGGUUGUUUGGGAAUGCAGCCCAAAAUGGGUGGUAAACUCCAUCUAAAG
rnacentral:ncRNA from 1 species